rnacentral:rRNA from 1 species
UACGUAGGGGGCGAGCGUUUGUCCGGAAUCAUUGGGCGUAAAGAGCGUGUAGGCGGCUUGGCAAGUCUGACGUGAAAGCCCGCGGCUCAACCGCGGAUUGUCGUUGGAAACUGCCUCGCUAGAGUCCGGAAGAGGAGAGCGGAAUUCCUGGUGUAGCGGUGGAAUGCGCAGAUAUCAGGAAGAACACCAGUGGCGAAGGCGGUGCUCUGGGCCGGAACUGACGCUGAGGUGCGAGAGCGUGGGGAGCGAACCGG